rnacentral:rRNA from 1 species
GAACGAACGCUGGCGGCAUGCCUAAUACAUGCAAGUCGAACGAACUCUUCGGAGUUAGUGGCGCACGGGUGCGUAACGCGUGGGAAUCUGCCCCUUGGUUCGGAAUAACAGUUGGAAACGACUGCUAAUACCGGAUGAUGACGGAAGUCCAAAGAUUUAUCGCCAAGGGAUGAGCCCGCGUAGGAUUAGCUAGUUGGUGAGGUAAAGGCUCACCAAGGCAACGAUCCUUAGCUGGUCUGAGAGGAUGAUCAGCCACACGUGGGACUGAGACGACGGCCCAGACUCCGUACGGGAGCAG